GGUUGUUAAAAUGGGCUUUUCCCAAUAGGGUUAGCCCAGCCCGCCUCUGAUUUUUUAACCCUAAACCCGUUAUUAUUUGUUUGGGUUAAAUCAGGGCCGUCUAUAAUGAAACACGGGUUAACCCUAAGCCCGUCAUUUUUUUAAUGAAAACAAAAGUUAACUAAACGACGUCGUAGUCACCAUCUCUUUGCUGCUUCGAUUCAGAAACCAGAAACGAGAUCUCAAUCGCCUCUCACCAUCUCAUCUCUAGCUGACGACGAACUAAAUUGCCUCUCACCGUCACGACGCCGUCACGACGAACCCAAUCGCCUCGCCGACGACGAACGCAUCUGUUUCAUCGGAGCAACGAGUGUUUGAAGAAAUUCAAGAGUCAAGAGACUUGGAGAACAACAAGUGUUUGCUCACUUGAGAGUUUGAGUAAAGUUCUAUUUAGUAAAGUAGCUACAAAGUUGUGCCCAACAGUUAUAAUUAUACUUUGCAUUUACAUUACAUGAAUGUAAACUUUCGUUUUUAAUUUCAGUGAAGACAAAAAUGAAUAAAAUACACAUUUUGCAUUUA